ACACACCUGAAUCAUGACAGUGGGAGCACAUGAACUUUAAAAUGGCAGCCGCACUGAUUAAUUAAAAUACAGAAGGACUUUAAGCAACAAUAAAAAAAAACAGUGAGCAUGUGAAAAAUGUAAAUAAUUUCUUAAUCAUAAAAUACUUUAUUACCCCAGUUUCAGCCCUGUGGAGUUUGUAAACAACAAUUAUUCCGGCUACCUCCCGUAUUUUAAAAACAUGGAUGUUAGCUUCGUUGGUUACGUCGAGUAGGGCUGGACAAUAAAUUGAAAUCUAAUCAUGAUUUCUAUUUUGUCUCCUCCUGAUGUUUCAAAGAUUAUAAUGGGGAAAAAAAGAUUAGUAUGCAGAAUGCCGAGUUUCAUUUGCAAAUUCAUGACGUUGUGAAAGUAAGCUGAAUGUACCAUGUUGUAACUAUUGCUUAUAUAAUUCUGCUGUCCCUCGUUGUUCUUUAAGCAUUUUAAAGACAGUAUAGUUGGAAUUUAGUGUAAUAUUUCAAUGCACAAAAGUUAAAUACUUCCAUUUUAAAACAAUGCUAACACUGAUGUUAAUGUCAAUGUAAAUUUCUUUUGGCAUGCUAUCAGUAAAUUAGCACCGACUUCUGAAGUGAAAUUGCUAUUCACACACAAACGCAGUAAAAACACAUACACACAAGUAACAGUGAUACUCAAUGGCACAAGUCCUUCCCAAUCUGUGAUCAAAACAAUGACUAAAUUGGUGUUUUCAAUCAUGCUUUGGAUUAUGGAACCUCAGCAACUCACCUGCGGCCAGUGCACCAUGCAAAUGCAUGUCGGCGUCACGGGGAUGGCAGGGUGUAUAAAAACGGAACUGCCUGGACAUACACUCAUUCAGUUUGGACAGCUCACAACUUUACUUCUUAAAAAGUUAAUUCCCACAUCAACAUGACUGUCAGCAAAAUUCUGGUGAGUACAGAACGUUUCCUUUUCCUACUCUAAAAAGAACUACAACAUUAAAAUGUACAUUCAGGUUUAAAGAGAGUUAAAUUAUGUUCACCUGGAAAGUUUAUUGUGCAUUUUAGGUUCAUCCUGAACAUUCCUUUUCGUGGGUGGUUUACUUUGGGUUCAACACCCUUCAAACAUGUAAGGAGUAUUUGGAAAAUACAUCUUGCAAAGUGCUCUUAGUGGCGGGAUGGCAAGAAAUGCGGAAGGGCAACAUGCAUCCACUGGCCUUUGCCAACUAUAGGCAAAUAUUGAUAACAAGCAAACAUUGUCAGCAUUAUGUUUGGAGUAAGGGGCUGUUUUGUUUUUAGCCAAAGCUGCCACUACAAGAUCUCUAUUAACAUGCUUCGAAAGCAACGCUCAGAAGUGCUUGCGCAUAUAUGGAAUUAUUUAGCCAGAGCAUUAAAUUAAACUAUUAAACAAUCAGGCAGUGCAUCAGUGCCUUUGUUGUUACUUCGUUGUUGGGCUCCGAGCCGUCCGAGUGCAAAGGGAGUUUUGAAAACUGGACACUGGGCAGGAGAAAUGCAAGCUUAUCUCCACUAUUGUCGUUUUGCGUACAUUUGAAUGCUAACACUCAUAGCUGUGAGAUCAUACUGACAACUCUUGGGCUUUUAUUUCUGUUUUCUUUAUUAGGGUUUCCAGCUCUUACUGGUCUUACUGGGGACAGUGUGCAGCAAACCUCUGUGUCCACAUAAGUGCACUUCUUCACCAAAAUUUCAGCGCACGCACUUCCAACACGUGUCGGAUUUGGGAGGAUCUUCAGUUGCUCCCUGGGAACUGACGUGGAAUUUUAGUGAAGGUAGGGAGCCUGAGAUCAUCGAGCAUGCCGUCUGCAAGAAUUGCACUGUGGCGCACAUGGUUGCCAAGCCCAUCUACAUCCAGAUUCCGGUCUACAAGAGAAUACGCAACAAGCCACAUGAUGUCUGGUGCAAAUGUCCUUACGAGCUGGCCGUGGGAUGCACUUGUGUUACCGCGCAACAGGAAUGAGCUUCACAUGGGGCCUGUUGUUCUCCUUGCUCUACUCUAGGACACGUCCCUUUUUCUACCAAGCAUUGUGGUUUGACUCACUUUGGUACGGUAUGCAUUUCUUUGUGUUUUGAUUGUACGUAGAACGUUCCAAAAUAUCCCAGUUUCAACCAUCAUUACGCAAUAGGCUGGUGGUGAAUCACCAACAGGGAAUUUCCUAAGUGGAAUGGAAAAGGCAAGAAAAAUCGUUUUUUAAGACAUUAUAGCGCAUUAAGAGGGAGAGAGGAAUUGAAGUUUCUGUCUCGUGUUUACAGAUGGUUACUAAGUAUGUUACGUUACCUCAAAGGCCUGGAAAAGUGUUAGGGGCUUAGAAAAAUCAUUUUGAGCUGAAUCCAUGCACAUAUGCACAAAGACACUCGAAUGGUUUUAUUUUAUUGAUGCGCAUGUGGUAGGCAAUUAACUCGUUUUGACUUUUGCUCAUGCAUCUUGGCGCUGUGAUGUAAUGGGAACUGUCAGUAACCACUUGCACUCCAAUCUGACUAGAAAGAUCAGCAGCAGACAGACGCCAAAAAAA